AUGGCUGUGCUGUCGUCUGCGAGGCGCCUCCUCCCGUGGGGCCGCGCCCCGGCCGGCGGGGUCAGCGGCGGCCUCCGAGCUCUACUCGGGACGGACGGAGGCGGCGGCCGCUCUCUUCUCCCGUCCCGGUGGAAGUCGUCGCAGCCGCAGCUGGACCCCGUCGACAGGUCCGACGAGGAGGGCGGCGGCGACAUCGACUGGGACAACCUCGGCUUCGGGCUCACCCCGACCGACUACAUGUACGUCAUGCGGUGCUCGCAGGAGGAGGGCGGCUUCUCCCGCGGCGAGCUCGCCCGCUACGGCAACAUCGAGCUCAGCCCCUCCUCCGGCGUGCUCAACUACGGGCAGGGGCUGUUCGAGGGGCUCAAGGCGUACCGGAGGGCGGACGGGCCCGGGUACAUGCUGUUCCGGCCGGAGGAGAACGCGCGGCGGAUGCAGCACGGCGCCGGGCGCAUGUGCAUGCCGGCCCCGUCCGUCGAGCAGUUCGUGCACGCCGUCAAGCAGACCGUCCUCGCCAACAGGCGCUGGGUGCCGCCGCAGGGAAAGGGGGCGCUGUACCUCAGGCCGCUGCUCAUCGGGAGCGGGGCGAUCCUCGGGCUGGCGCCGGCGCCCGAGUAUACCUUCAUGAUCUACGCGGCGCCCGUGGGCACAUAUUUCAAGGAAGGCAUGGCGGCGAUAAACCUGCUGGUCGAGGAGGAGAUCCACCGCGCCAUGCCGGGCGGCACCGGCGGGGUCAAGACCAUCUCCAACUACGCGCCGGUGCUCAAGGCGCAGAUGGACGCGAGGAGCAAGGGGUUCGCGGACGUGCUGUACCUGGACUCGGUCCACAAGAGGUACGUGGAGGAGGCCUCCUCCUGCAACCUCUUCGUCGUGAAGGGCGGCGCCGUCGCGACGCCGGCGACGGAGGGGACCAUCCUGCCGGGGGUCACGCGUCGGAGCAUCAUCGAGCUCGCCAGAGACAGCGGCUACCAGGUCGAAGAGCGCCUCGUCUCCAUCGACGAUCUCGUCAGUGCCGACGAAGUGUUCUGCACGGGAACGGCCGUCGGCGUCACCCCGGUGUCCACCAUCACCUACCAAGGGACAAGGUACGAGUUCAGGACCGGGGAGGACACGUUGUCGAAGAAGCUUUACACGGCUCUGACGUCGAUCCAGAUGGGCCUGGCGGAGGACAAGAAGGGAUGGACGGUCGCGGUUGAUUGA
rnacentral:rRNA from 1 species